UGGUUAAAGGAAGCAGGUCACCUGUGGGUGUUUCUUGUCCCUGGCUCCUUCCUUUCUCCUUCCGGCUCCUCUUCCCCUUUCCUAGCUGCCAUGAGGGGGAAGAGCUCUCCUCUGCCAUGCCCUUUCCACCAUCAUCUGCCAUGAUGCUUUCCACCUCACCACCAGCCUAAAACAAUGGAGCCAGUUCACCAUGGACUGACAUCUCUGACAUGUGAGCCAAAAUAAAUCUUUCCUCCUUGAAGUAGAUUUUCUCCAGUAGUUUGUCACAGUGGCAGAAAGCUGAUGAACAUACACCCUAGCCACCUUUUCUCACAGGCCGUGUCUCCUGCAUGGUUCUUGAGUACAUCAAAGCUGGGACUCAUCUCCCAGAUACUCACUUCUCUCUUAAAGUCCUCUGAGCUGCUGGUCCUGGAUGGGGACUCAAAGGUCAUCAGUGUGGUCUCUCUUCACUUCAUCUAUCCCUGAUUCCAGAUGCACUCUGCUCCUGACUUUCUGCACAGCCUGGGGUCUCCUGUUUUUGUCUUGCAUGGCCUUUUGUCUGUCCACUGCUAAAUGGUCUUCUGCGAUGGGGGAAUAAUCCGUGAUUUGCAGCUUUUGUUGAGUUCUCUGGUGUAAAUUCUCUCAUCGUGAUCAAUCUCAAAUACUAACAUGACUUCACUGAAGAUGGAGUUGGAAGAGAUGUAGAGUCAUCACCAUUGGAUAGUAUUUCUACCACAGAGAGACAACAGAACUAAAAAAUUAAUAAAUGAAACCUUCAAGGGCAGAAAUAUAGGUAGUGAUACAUUUUUAUUAUUUAUUACCUCCAUUUUUAAUAGAAUUCACUUAAUUAUAAACUUAUAGAAUUUAAUUUUUAAUAAGGACUGCAUUUAACAACCAACUGGCAAGAUUCCCAAACAUUUUAGCAAUUGGCCCUCCAGAGGCCAUUGAGGCAGCUCCCGUGGGCGGCUCGCCCCCUUCCCAGGGAUCCCUCCUCUCCACCAACAUCUUGUCAACACUUUCUCUUCCCUUAAAUCAGCUCUGCCUGCACGGGGAAGGUGCCCUCUUCCACUCCACCACAGCUCUCACCCACCACAAAGAUCUGUUGAUGCCCUAUCUUUCUCCUAUCCCACAAUUUCUUGAGGGCAGAGACCACAUCCCAUUUUUCUUUGUAAUCCCAGUAUAGUUCCUGGUACAUCUAGUGGACAGAGAACUAUUAAGGGACUGAGCUGCUGAGGUGGCACAUGGCUGAAAUCCCCACUGUUCAGGAGGCUGAGGGAGGAAGGUCACAACUUUAAGGCCACCCUGGGCCACUCAACAAGACCCUUGCUCAAAAUAAAAAGGGAUGGGGGUAUAGCUUAGUGAUAGCACAUGUGAGGCACUGGGCUCAAUCCCCAGUACUGCGAAAAAGAAAAAAGAAUUGAAGACUCCUUUCUGUUGGCACCGUUCUUUUCUCCUCUGUCUCCACUCCUGAUGGCUUUGGGAGAUUGGCUGCAUGAUGGAACAGGCUCAAUAAAAACAAAAUGCUUUUUGAUUGGACAAACUGACCAAGCAACUAGAGCAUUUGCAAGCAUGAAUAGUUUACUCGUGUUUAUUUGGGGUAGAAAAAAAUUGUGCCCUCU
rnacentral:lncRNA from 1 species